AUGUCAUCAGGAGAUAUCAUUCUGACUCAGUCUCCUGGAUCUCAGUCUGUUAGUCCAGGACAGACUGUCUCUAUCAGAUGUAAAACCAGUACAUAUGUUAGGAAUGAGCUCAGUUGGUACCUUCAGAAACCUGGAGAAGCUCCUAAACUCCUGAUAUAUUCUGCUUCAACCCGUCAGUCUGGAGUUUCAAGUCGUUUUAGUGGAAGUGGAUCUGGGACUGACUUCACUAUGACCAUCAGUGGAGUCCAGGCUGAAGAUUCAGGAGUUUACUACUGUCAGCAGCAUCACCGCUACCCGUUGACUUUUGGUGGAGGAACCAGACUGGAUGUUGGAAGUGACGCCCGUCCCACCCUGACGGUGCUCCCCCCCUCCAGAGAGGAGCUGCAGCAGGGGAGGGCCACACUCAUGUGCCUGGCCAACAAGGGCUUCCCCUCAGACUGGAGGCUGGCCUGGAAGGUGGACGGCAGCAGCAGCAGCAGCAGCAGCAGCUGGGAGCAGAGCAGGAGCCCCGGGGUGCUGGAGAAGGACGGCCUCUACAGCUGGAGCAGCACCCUGAGGCUCACUGCAGACCAGUGGAGGAAGCUGGGCUCUGUCACCUGUGAGGCCACCCAGGGCUCCCAGUCUCCACAGGCCGAGACACUGAGGAGAGACCAGUGUCCCCAGUAACUGACCUGACUCACUGGGACUUCUGCUACUGGUUUCACUCUGCAGCUGUUCUCACUCUGCACUCUGCCUCAUGCCUCUCUCUCACAAGCAUCAUUAUAUCUUCUAAUCAUAAUGUUUUCUUGCUUGCACUCAUGUCAGUAUUCCCUCUAUGUUAAGACAAUAAAAAUAUUUUCACCAAAUCA